AAAACUUUCAACAACGGAUCUCUUGGUUCUGGCAUCGAUGAAGAACGCAGCA
rnacentral:rRNA from 1 species